AAAGAUUAUUUAUUUUUACUCAUUUUCUUGUCUGUGCAAAAGUAAUAACUUUUCGUUUUAUACAAGAUCUAUUUUUUACUAUAGAAUGCAACGGUAAAAUUAUUGAUAGAAAAUCUAUUAAACGUCUUUUUAAUUAUUCAGCAAAAAUUAAUAGUUUUUUUAAGGUCUAUAAACUGACAAGCAAUAAAAUAAUAAAAUAUUUUUUUUACGAUUCAAAUAUGUUAUCAGAAAAACAGUCAAUAGAUCUCCAUGCAACUUAUCAACAGCAGUAUGCACAGUUUUUUUAUAAGCACAAUAAUACCGAUAAAUCAAAUAAAAAAAUAACAGAAUAUUGUUAUAAUAUAUCGACUGCUAAUUUUGUUCCAAAUACGUUAAAAGACGAUGGAGAUGGAGAUGGAGAUGGAGAUGUUAAUCAUGUAAAUGAUACGCUUUCACAUAACACAACCAUAACUAACAAUGCUGGUAUUGCAGAAACAGCAAUGUAUAAUAAAAUUAACCCUAGUAUAAUACAUCAAAUAAAUAAACAAAAAGAUUCUACACAUAUCAAUUUGGAUCAUACAACAAAAAAUAAUAUACAUAGUCAGCUGAACAUACAAAAUGAUACAAAAGAUUUAUCACGACAUUUAAAAAAUUGCGAAAAUAAAAAUAAAGAUAAUUCAAAUAAAAUAGAAGAGUAUAGCAAUAUUAUUACAAAAAAUAAUACUACUAAUAAUUAUACCACUAGAAAUAAUACUACUAAUAAUUAUAUCACUAGAAAUAAUACUACUAUCAAUAAUAAUAAUAAUAAUACCAUUUAUAACGAAAAUAUACUUAACCAUUUUUUAAAUUUAGAAAGUAAUAAAAGAAAAACUUUUACCAACUCAAAUUCUAUUACAUUCAAUAAAAAAUGCAAAGUAGAGCAACCAUCAAAAACAAAUGAUAGUAUAAAAAAUGAUCAAACAAAUUUACUACAACAAGCAUCAGAAAAUGUAUCUAACAAAUCAAAUAAUAAAUGUGAAAAAAAGAAUAAAUUAAUGAAUGAAAAUGAUAAUGCAAUGGUUAAACCAUCGUUAGAAAAACAACAAAAUGAUAGUUAUUGUGAUGUAAACAGUGUAAAUAAUAAAAACGCAUUAUGUAGUAGUAAUAGUAGUAGUAGUAAUAAUAAUAAUAGGGUAAAAGAUAAUAACACUUUAACUUUAAACAGUAAUAAAAAUCUAUAUAAUGUACUAUAUGUUGAUAUAUUAAAAAAAUCGGCUUUUACUUAUAAAGAAAAUAUACAUGUGAAUAAAACGAAAAUACAAAAUAACUUUUAUCCAAAAUAUACUACAUCACAAGAUAUGAAUUUAAAAAUAAAUUAUUUAUAUGGGUAUAUUUUUAUGAAAAUGACAAGGUAUAAAUAUUUUCACAAGUGUUUAAUUAGAAUAUUAAAAGAAAAAAACAGGAAACUUCAAAAACAGAUGCAAAAAACUGCUAUUAGUGGUAAUGGAAGCACGAAUGAAGGUGUUAAUUUGAUGCAUAACAAGGGUGGAAUUAAAAACGUGCCGAACACACAAAACGCGCAGUACGCAAGUAAGCAUUCCAAAAAAAGAACUUUUUCAUUUAUUCAACAAACCGAUAAAAAAAAAAAAAGAAAAAAAAUAUAUAUUUACACACUAACCAUAAAGUAUAUCUUAAGAAAUUUAUAUCUGAAUGAAUAUUUAAAAAUUAUAAGCAUCGGAGUUAAGCUAAAUUAUAUUGAAAAUUAUUUAUUUAAUGUGAAAAAAAAAUUAAAAAUGAAACAUCUUCCACCAAUGCUAUUUGAAUUUUUUACAUCUUAUUCAUUACUAACUUGUAAAAAAAAAAGUCUCAUUGAAAAUUUUAUUUUAAGUCAAAAUAAAAACACAUAUUUCGAUAAUUAUAAUAAUUAUGAACAAAUGCAAGGAAAAAUAUGUUCGUAUGAUCAAUUAAAUCAAUUGCAUAUGCUAAAAGAUUAUUCUUAUGUUGAUUCUGCUACUAAUAUGCUACAUCAAAAGCAAGAUUGUCACAAAAGCAAUAGCACAGUUGUGUCGAAGGAAAGUUGCAACAACAACUGUGAUGACAGUAACAUCAAAAAAAAUACUCUAUGCUAUGAAGAUAUAAAUAUACUCAAAAGUUAUCCGAAAAUACCCAUAUUUUUUUUAUUAUACAAAAUAUUAAAAUUUUUACAUUAUAUGAACGCAAUUUACUUUAAGUUUAAAGACAAAAAUAAAAAAAAUAAUAAAAAAUUUUGUUACAAUAUAGAAAAUAAUCAUUAUAAAAAAUUGAAGCAAAACGAUUUAAUUGUAUCAUUUAACGAUUUAAAAAAAAGCAAUUUACAAAUUUAUAUUAAAAAAAAUGUAAAUAUUUUUUUACUUUCUUCUAAAAAAAAACAUUUAACAAAUUAUAAUAUGAUGAAAUACAAUCAUUUUGAAGAAUAUUA
ensembl:lncRNA